GGUCCUACGGGGGGCAGCAGUGGGGGAUAUUGCACAAUGGGGGAAACCCUGAUGCAGCGACGCCGCGUGGGCGAAGAAGUAUUUCGGUAUGUAAAGCUCUAUCAGCAGGGAAGAAAGAAAUGACGGUACCUGACUAAGAAGCCCCGGCUAACUACGUGCCAGCAGCCGCGGUAAUACGUAGGGGGCAAGCGUUAUCCGGAUUUACCGGGUGUAAAGGGAGCGUAGACGGCGAUGCAAGUCUGAAGUGAAAGGCGGGGGCCCAACCCCCGGACUGCUUUGGACACUGUAUA
rnacentral:rRNA from 1 species